AUGCCCUUACGGGAUGGUGCUGUGGACUUCAUGGCCUGGCAUUUUGAUCCCAAAGGGCUCUUCUCGGUUCGACAUGCAUAUAAGCUGAAGAGAGCAAUCUCGGAAGCAGCGGGGGGAGAUGGUGGGGCGCCACAAAUCGAGCCUGGCAACCUGAACGAUGGAGGACAAGACAAGUGGAAGAGGAUUUGGCGUAUGCCUUGCCCAGGGAAAAUCAAACAUUUUAUCUGGAGGAUGGCACACAACACACUAGCAACCAAGGAUAUCCUGUGCAGGAGGGGCAUGACCAUCGAAGACCACAAAUGUUUUCUGUGCAACUCGCGGAACGAAUCUGGAAAGCAUCUCUUCGUGGAGUGCCAGGAAAUCAAGCAGGUGUGGCGUGCACUUAGCCUUGAGCACGUGUGGCAGCGAUUGAGCGUGUGGGAUUCUGUGGAGGAAACCCUGGACACACUGUGGUAGAUUCCGGAGAAGGAGCGCAUGCUGAUUGUCUUGAUGUGGUGGCAAUGGUGGACGCAGAGGAAGAAAGCGAGACACGGAGAGAAGCCCAUGGAGCACGGCCAAUUUUCCCGUAGAGCUGCAUGUACGACUGAGGAAUACCAGGGUUAUUUCAGCAAAUGUGCCAAAGUGCAUGUAGUUCCCCAACAGUGGUCUCCGCCGCCAGCCGAUGUGCUCAAAAUCAACAUGGAUGGCGCACACACCCCGGGUAUGCACCUGGGUGCAUGGGGGGUGAUGGUCCGAGACAGCGACGGGACAGUGGUGGCGGCUCGAGCAGGACGAAAUGACCAUGUGGCGGAUGCGUUUGGCGGUGAACUCCUAGCAGUUGAAAAGGCAUUGGAUGUUGCUUCUAAGCUCGGCGUGUUGCACCUGAUCAUCGAGACUGAUGCGCUUCUGGUGGAACAAGCAUGA
rnacentral:rRNA from 1 species